rnacentral:snRNA from 1 species
AUCUCUGGCUUCUCUGCAUUUAACCGAGAAAAUCUUUCGCCUUUUACUAAAGAUUCCCGUGCAGAGGUGCAAUUAGAGGGCCCGCGUGAUACAGUGGUAAGAGGCGCUGCUG